UACUGUUUAUGAUGAUUUGAUUUUAUCAAUGGGAAUCUCUCUGAUUAAGAAUGAGGGAGUAUCUUUGUACUGACUCGGUG